AUUGAACGCUGGCGGCAGGCCUAACACAUGCAAGUCGAGCGAGCGGCGGACGGGUGAGUAAUGUAUGGGGACUGCCCGAUAGAGGGGGAUAACUACUGGAAACGGUGGCUAAUACCGCAUACUAUCGGAUAACCCAUAUGGGAUUAGCUCGUAGGUGGGGUAAAGGCUCACCUAGGCGACGAUCUCUAGCUGGUCUGAGAGGAUGAUCAGCCACACGGGGACUGAGACACGCCCCAGACCCCUCCGGGGGCAGCAGUGGGAAAUAUGGCACAAUGGGCGCAAGCCUGAUGCAGCCAUGCCGGGUGUAGGAAGAAGGCCUUAGGGUUGUAACGUACUUUCAGCGGGGAGGCGUUACCCGCAGAAGAGGCACCGGCUAACUCCGUGCCAGCAGCCGCGGUAUUC
rnacentral:rRNA from 1 species